CAAGGCCAGGUGGAGGAAUCUUUAGCCACAGGACUCUUAGGUGGAAAAGUAGAAAAGGCCUGGUAUGCAGCCACAAUGUGGAGACACCUAGCUGAGCCCAGGACCACCUUGUACCCUCUUAGCUCCCCAGUCUUGUUCAACACCAAGCCUCUCCACAUCCCCAACACCUCCACUGGCCCCAGCUAUGCUCACCACCAGGACUGAAGUUGAAGAGGGGGGGAAGCGGGCGGUUGUUGGGGAGCUGGGUUCCGAGACUCCGCAGUUCAUCAAAGAAACUGUGGGCACAGGCCUCUAGUGGGGAGAGCCUUGAGGAUGGAGUGUACUCCAGCAGGCUAGAGCAGAGUGCGAUGGCCUCAGGUGGUGUCCGAGAUUUGAACACCUGUGGGUUAAUGCAGAGGGGCGAGGUGCUGUGACACCGUGUCAUGUGCUCCCCUGUGGCAGCCUGCUUCCCAGACACCCACCUCCCUGGUAAGGAGACCGACACAAUGAGAUGGGUGCUGGCUCAGGGUCCAUGACUUGUGAGUCCUAAUGCGUACGUGCCACCAUAUAAAUGGGAAUCUUGUAUUUACCUCUGAGUUCUCAAUUUUUAAAAUUCUAUAAACUUCACAAUCUCAAAGUGUU
rnacentral:lncRNA from 1 species